rnacentral:rRNA from 1 species
AAAGUUUGAUCCUGGCUCAGGACGAACGCUGGCGGCGUGCCUAACAYAUGCAAGUCGUACGCUUGUAAAAGCGUGGCGAACGGGUGAGUAUAAGCAAGGAACAUGCCUUAUUCCGGGAAAUACCCAGCCGAAAGGUUGGCUAAUGUCCCAUGGUCUCGCAAGAGUAAAGCUCCGGCGGAAUAAGAUUGGCCUUGUCCCUAUCAGCUAGUUGGUGAGGUAAAGGCUUACCAAGGCUUCGACGGGUAGCUGGUCUGAGAGGAUGAUCAGCCACAAUGGGACUGAGACACGGCCCAUACACCUACGGGUGGCAGCAGUUGGGAAUAUUGCGCAAUGGACGACAGUCUGACGCAGCGACGCCGCGUGAAGGAUGAAGGUUUUCGGACCGUAAACUUCUUUUAUAGGGGACGAUUGUGACGGUACCCUAUGAAUAAGGGCCUGCUAACUACGUGCCAGCAGCAGCGGUAAUACGUAGGGCCCGAGCGUUGUCCGGAUUUAUUGGGCGUAAAGAGUUCGUAGGUGGUUAUGUAAGUCGGAUUUUAAAUUCCCAGGCUCAACUUGGGUGCUGGAUUCGAAACUACAUAACUUGAGAAUAUCAGGGGUAAGUGGAAUUAGCGGUGUAGCAGUGAAAUGCGUUGAUAUCGCUAAGAACACCAAUGGCGAAGGCAGCUUACUAUGAUUUUUCUGACACUGAGGAACGAAAGCGUGGGGAGMGAACGGGAUUAGAUACCCCGGUAGUCCACGCCGUAAACGAUGCACACUAUGUAUCAGAAGUAUCGACCCUUCUUGUACCGAAGCUAACGCGUUAAGUGUGCCGCCUGGGGAGUACGGCCGCAAGGCUAAAACUCAAAGGAAUUGACGGGGACUCGCACAAGCGGKGAGYAUGUGGUUUAUUCGAUGACGMACGAGAACCUUACCAGGUUUGACAUCUAGAGAACCCGGCARAAACGUCGGGUKCYCGCAAGGGAGCUCUAAGAMAGGUGUUGCACGGAUGUCGUCAGCUCGKGUCRUGAGAAUGUUGCCUUARSKGUCACGAGCGAACUAUWUCCUGKKGUUGAUUAMCCGGAGACUGCYUCGUUACGGGAAGAAGCUAACGASUCAAUSGSCGKGCCYUUACCCUGGCUUAMCGCCWUGUCUWMAUGGGSCGAUC